UCUAAGUUUUGCUGAUUAUUUUGAGGAGUGUGGGGGGGGAAGUUCGAAUGUGGUGUGGGGAGGAUUUUUAUAGGCUGAUUGUGUACUUGUAAGCCUUAAAUGAGGCUGCUGAAACUCUUGUCUCUAUCCAGCAACAUAUCCCUCUCUCUUUGAUCUUUUGCAGCAAACUUUAACUGAAAUUUUGAUGGUAUACUAAGGGUAUAUUGCUGCCACAAUCCUUUUUGUUGAUUCUCCACCACCCCUUUUAUUUAAUUUAGCUUGGUGUUGUGUCUAGCAUAAGUACUCUUGCAUUAAUACAUUUUGUUUGAUCUCCUUGCAGGUACAGCGAGAGAAAUGCAGGGCUGUUGGGAGCAGGGGAGUUCAAACUGACUUUGCUUCCUUUGGCAAGUCUUUUGGUCUACUCUAACAAAGGAGAAAGAGACAGCUUGGCUGCCACCCAACUGUCCCGGGAGGUAGGCUCGCUGCCUUGGCUCACCGGCUGACCGGGUGGGGUCGCGGUGGUGUGCGGCUUGGGCUCGGAAAAGAAGAGGCCCAACGUGUAGUAAAAGAGUCGGCCUUAGCUCUUAGCCUUUUAGCCCAUACUUGUAAAUUUGUGUACUAGCAUUCACAUUUCCUUUUUCUUAAAUUCUUACUUCCCAUGUAUUUCACUAUGUAAGCUAGAGUGUAUUUGAUAGUAGUUGCAUUUUCUUAGCUAGAAAACGAACUCUUCAUCUUCUUUCUCGUUAGUUAUGGCUCGUAAAUAGUAAUGGAGUAGUUUUAGUUCA